UUAAACCAUGUAGGACGGUUGUAAAAACGUUGCAGUAAUAUGGUAGUUAAAAGAGGACGGAAUAAGACAAACUAAAAAAAAACCGACUGGCGCUGUCACCUCAGUGCAAAGAAACGCACAGUAAAGUGCAGUCCACUGGCGUGCAAUGACACACACAUACACACACAUAGAAAAAAAAAGCCUCUUUCUCUUUUUUUCACCCCCCAGCCCUCCAUGCUCUCCCGUGAAGCGCGCUCAUGUGCACGCGUUCACGUUUGGCAGCUCCACGUCGACAUUCUUCCAGCUGCAUUGAGUCAACUGCACGCAGCACUCACUCGCGGCCAGGAAGAAGAAAAGGUAAAACGACGGCGACCGAAGCACCGGCCACCUCACGACUUGAAUCGCUUUUGCACGUCAGCACAUCAAGUGCAGCGAAGAAAGAGUGGCUUUGCAUCGCGCUCUUUAGGUGGCCCUGCGACGUCCUCACUUUGCUGCCUUUCGUUGCAUUUUUUUUUUUAAACAGACUGGCUGCUGCAGCUGACCGCUACCUCUCAGGUCAAGGGAGCAACAUGUCAGUCUGCUGGAUGAAGACAAACCUAUGAGGUGGCACUGUGGCUUUCCAAAUAAAGUUCUGUGAUACACUCAGACUCUCACUGCUCGCAGUCAGUGCAUUACAGAACUUUGUUUUGGAAGUUAAAUCUUCCAUUUGGGAAAGAAGUCCUCAAGCAUCUGGAUAUUUGCUACACCUUUUCUGCUUUUUUUCCUCCUGAAAUAAAGUUCCUUUGCACAUUCACUCUUUUUUUUCCCAAUUUAUCCAUUGUUUAUUUGAAUUACAAUACGGUAUUCUAUUUUGAUUGAUUGUGAUCCGUGUGUGUCAUAUUGUUACUUAAAGCGCUGGAUGGUACCAUAUGGAAACAGUCGUCAUGCUGGUCUGGUGACUCAGUGGAGAGGAGCUUGAAAAGUCAAUAGUAAACUUGUGUUGGUUCAGGUUAAUUUACUAACCAAGCCAGUGGUGCAUCAAACAAGUCAAUGAGAAAAGCAGAGUUUGCAGUGAGACGAUUUUUGUGCAAGAUGAAACUGCAGGUAUGAAUUGCCAGUUAGUCCAAUGUUAUACACACUGAAAUCUAAUAAAAACAGACAAAUGAAUGGA